rfam:Metagenome sequence 3634299_fasta.screen.Contig4658, whole genome shotgun sequence.
UCCACCGUGAGGUGGAAUCUGAAGGAAGCCUGUAGCAAAUUUGGGAACCGACGAACAGAAACCGGAUACAAGGCCCGACACGUGGGACAACCGUGCAAUGACCCGGGACGUCCAAGAGGCCACCGUAAGCGUUAGGGUAAAUCCGGCGGUUUUCAAAGGAAGAGGAAUAGAC